GCCAUGCUGGUCUUGGUGGUUUCGCCGUGGUCUGCGGCCCGGGGAGUGCUUCGAAACUACUGGGAGCGACUGCUACGGAAGCUUCCGCAGAGCCGGCCGGGCUUUCCCAGUCCUCCGUGGGGACCAGCAUUAGCAGUACAGGGCCCAGCCAUGUUUACAGAGCCAGCAAAUGAUACCAGUGGAAGUAAAGAGAAUUCCAGCCUUUUGGACAGUAUCUUUUGGAUGGCAGCUCCCAAAAAUAGACGCACCAUUGAAGUUAACCGGUGUAGGAGAAGAAAUCCGCAGAAGCUUAUUAAAGUUAAGUGUUGCUUGUCUUCAGUCUUCCUGUUAAAGUGAGGUGGAACUAGAUGGUGUAUGAUGACCUCAUGUAGCCUGAACAUCCUAAGAAAGUUAAAAUAACAACAUAGACGUUUGUCCUGAAUGUGGUCACCUGAAACAGAAACAUGUCCUUUGUGCCUACUGCUAUGAAAAGGUGUGCAAGGAGACUGCAGAAAUCAGACGACAGAUAGGGAAGCAAGAAGGGGGCCCUUUUAAGGCUCCCACCAUAGAGACUGUGGUGCUGUACACGGGAGAGACACCGUCUGAACAAGAUCAGGGCAAGAGGAUCAUUGAACGAGACAGAAAGCGACCAUCCUGGUUCACCCAGAAUUGACACCAAAGAUGUUAAAAGGGUAACUUCACAGUAAAUCAUUUCUCCUGAAAUAGAGGAAGAUUCUUUAUGUUGUUGUGCUUGUUUUUAAAUCAUCAGUAUAGUUUAACACAUUCUUUCUAAGCAGUUUUGUGUGGGAUAAUUUGAAGAAUAUAUUAUGAGUAAACUCCGAAAAUUUUGUUUAUCCAAAGGCUCAAUGGAUUAUGUUUCUAUUAUAUACAAGGUUUUAAGUAAACAUAAAAUUUCCAGAAC
rnacentral:lncRNA from 1 species